rnacentral:rRNA from 1 species
GACGAACGCUGGCGGCGCGCCUAACACAUGCAAGUCGAACGAGCGAGAGAGAGCUUGCUUUCUCAAGCGAGUGGCGAACGGGUGAGUAACGCGUGAGGAACCUGCCUCAAAGAGGGGGACAACAGUUGGAAACGACUGCUAAUACCGCAUAAGCCCACAGGUCGGCAUCGACCAGAGGGAAAAGGAGCAAUCCGCUUUGAGAUGGCCUCGCGUCCGAUUAGCUAGUUGGUGAGGUAACGGCCCACCAAGGCAACGAUCGGUAGCCGGACUGAGAGGUUGAACGGCCACAUUGGGACUGAGACACGGCCCAGACUCCUACGGGAGGCAGCAGUGGGGAAUAUUGCACAAUGGGGGAAACCCUGAUGCAGCGACGCCGCGUGGAGGAAGAAGGUCUUCGGAUUGUAAACUCCUGUUGUUGAGGAAGAUAAUGACGAUACUCAACAAGGAAGUGACGGCUAACUACGUG